UACGUAGGGGGGCGAGCGUUGUCCGGAUUUAUUGGGCGUAAAGAGCGUGUAGGCGGCCAGGUAGGUCUGCUGUGAAAACUCGAGGCUCAACCUCGAGACGUCGGCGGAAACCAUCUGGCUAGAGUCCGGAAGAGGAGAGUGGAAUUCCUGGUGUAGCGGUGAAAUGCGCAGAUAUCAGGAGGAACACCAAUAGCGAAGGCAGCUCGCUGGGAUGGUAUUGACGCUAAGGCGCGAAAGCGUGGGGAGCGAACAGG
rnacentral:rRNA from 1 species